UACGUAGGGCGCGAGCGUUGUCCGGAAUUAUUGGGCGUAAAGAGCUCGUAGGUGGCUUGUUGCGUCUGCCGUGAAAGCCCGUGGCUUAACUACGGGUCUGCGGUGGAUACGGGCAGGCUAGAGGCUGGUAGGGGCAAGCGGAAUUCCUGGUGUAGCGGUGAAAUGCGCAGAUAUCGGGAGGAACACCAAUGGUGAAGGCAGCUCGCUGGGACGUUACUGACGCUGAGACGCGAAAGCGUGGGGAGCAACAGG
rnacentral:rRNA from 1 species